rfam:Glycine soja cultivar W05 scaffold8652_4, whole genome shotgun sequence.
AGGGAUAUAACUCAGUGGUAGAGUGUCACCUUGACAUGGUGGAAGUUAUCAGUUCGAGUCUGAUUAUCCCUA